rnacentral:rRNA from 1 species
CACGUAUUUAGCCGUCCCUUUCUGGUAAGAUACCGUCACUACUUGAACAGUUACUCUCAAAUACAUUCUUCUCUUACAACAGUGCUUUACGAGCCGAAACCCUUCAUCACACACGCGGCGUUGCUCCAUCAGGCUUGCGCCCAUUGUGGAAGAUUCCCUACUGCUGCCUCCCGUAGGAGUAUGGGCCGUGUCUCAGUCCCAUUGUGGCCGAUCAGUCUCUCAACUCGGCUAUGCAUCAUCGUCAUGGUGAGCCAUUACCUCACCAUCUAACUAAUGCACCGCGGGACCAUCUCUUAGUGAUAGCAGAACCAUCUUUCAAAUAAAAACCCAUGCGGUUUUUAAGUAUUAUACGGUAUUAGCAUCUGUUUCCAAAUGUUAUCCCCUGCUAAGAGGUAGGUUUCCCACGUGUUACUCACCCGUUCGCCACUCCUUGCAUUGUUUUAAAUCAUAUUGUGCAAGCACGCUAUUCAUUAAAACCACAAGGCGUUCG